rnacentral:rRNA from 1 species
UACGUAGGGUGCAAGCGUUGUCCGGAAUUAUUGGGCGUAAAGAGCUCGUAGGCGGUUUGUCGCGUCGGCUGUGAAAACCCGCGGCUCAACUGCGGGCCUGCAGCCGAUACGGGCAGGCUAGAGUUCGGUAGGGGAGACUGGAAUUCCUGGUGUAGCGGUGAAAUGCGCAGAUAUCAGGAGGAACACCGGUGGCGAAGGCGGGUCUCUGGGCCGAUACUGACGCUGAGGAGCGAAAGCGUGGGGAGCGAACAGG